GGUGAAAAUAGGCUUUCAGGUGAAUUCCCACGUGCCAUCUUAAACUUUUCUUCUCUUCAAUGUCUAAGCUUAGAGUUAAAUAUGCUAAGGAAGGCAUUGCCAACUAACAUUGGUGGCUUUCUGCCUUAUCUGAAAGACCUAACCUUGUACGACAACAUGUUUCAGGGUCACAUCCCAGCUUCCCUCGGCAAUGCUUCGGGGUUAGAACCCAUAGAUUUCUACAUCUAUAUCUAUACCUACUAUUAAACCAAGGCGAUAUUCUUAGUUUCGUCCCGCGGUAAUUUUGUCUUCUAGUUCUCGCGGUACGCAAGGUGGUACUUUUUCUCUUCCUUCUGUUUCUUUGUGCGUCGCGCAAGGCCACGCUGGACCAUGUCGCUGCAAUGGGCCUCGGCCCACUCUGCGUCCUGCACGCGCACCCUCGCUUUCCUGGAUUUUUGCCUUGGAGUCCGUCGUAUCCCUUUACGUGCGUCGCUGCGUUUUGUACUAUGCUGGGCCGAGUUAGCCCAUAUAUGUACAUUUUUUUUUUUGCUGCGUUAUAUCCCCUGCUGGACCGAGCUAGCCCGGUAUGCACAAUUUUUUUUCAUGUCUGAUUGGCAAAAAUUAUUGCUCUUAGGGGUUUCGAACUCAGAACUUCACUUUGAGUCCAAGAGGCUAGAGCCAACAGAGCUGCUUCUGAUUGUGUGGAAAAUUGAGGUUUGCCAGCCUAUUAGUCCCACAUCGCGUCUUUGCAUCCAAUUCAAUCAGUUUAUAUACAUUUGUGAGUUGUACGGUUGACGUGCAACCUUAAGAAUCAACUAAGCAGGAUGAGCUGUGGGUCCUGUAUAACCUACAGAAACAGAGCAUUAAAAAUCCAGAUUUGGAAUGGAAUAAAUAAAGGAGUAAAUUCCAGUUUUUACUCCUAAGUUUGACAUUUUUGACACUGGUUACCCUAUUUAAAAGAAUUUCAUCCGUCAUACCCAUUUAACAAAAAUGUUGCCGGGUUUACCCUCUUCUUUUUUUUUGUGAGGAUUCUGAUUCAUGGGUCCCGAUUGCGAAGUCCACGUGUCAUGCCACGUCGUCAGUUUUUCUGGGUUUUUUCCUCAUGUGAAACCAGCCCGCACCGCUGAGCCCGACAGGAUCACUGAACCGCACGCACCGUCAGUCCUGGCGAUCGACGCUCGACCCGGGCCGCACCGCGUUCGUGUCUAGCCUAGCGCACGCACCGGUCGCCCGGCUUCUUACCGCACGCACCGCUGUCGCUCGCGCCUAGGGUUAGGGAUUCUCUUACGGCGGCGCCGGCGCCGGCGACGGAGACGGAGAUGGCGGCCGCGGGUGCUGAAGGGAAACGACAGCAGCUGCAGGUGCUGAAUGACAUCGACGGCUACUGCGGGCGCUGAAUGGCGGCGACGGGGACGGCGGGUGCCUAAGGGCCGUGACGGUGGCGACGGUGCUGAAGGGCCGCGACGGUGGCGGAUGGUGUUGAGGGGCGGCGGCGACGACGGCGUGCGGCCGUGCCUCGAGCGUGUAGUCUCAUGCUGGUGCGUUAUCCCGCCCCGGCCGUCACGGUCAGCAAGUUCAGGGCGCAGUUAACUCCUCUAGUGAUUCUGUGAUGGCUCGUUUGAUAUAUCACCCAGAAGCCAUUGCCGUGAAGAAUGAUGAGCUGCAAGCAGAGCAGGAGGUGCGCACUCUGAAGUUGCUCAGCUUGGUGGAGAUGGAAAAUGAGCUUGCCAUUUUAGUUGCCGUGCUUCUAUUUGCAACUGUUGCUGCUGAUGCGACGUACUUCGACAACAAGUGCAUGACUGAAUGUAGCUACAUCCACUUUAUGUGUCUUUUGAGUCUGUUGGUGAUGGUGGAAUCUAGAGUGUGGUUACAUGUAAAGUAGUGAACCGGUGAUGUUUGUAUUGACCUAAUGAUGCUGAAGUGUGGUUUUUGUGGUAGUAGUGAACUAGAUGCUGUUUAGUGUAAGUAAUGAUGCAAGUAUGCAAAAAAUUUGAACAAAUAUCAAAGUGAUGAAAGAAAUUCAAACUAGUACUGUUGCUUAUGUA